rnacentral:rRNA from 1 species
GCUUGUCUCAAAGAUUAAGCCAUGCAUGUCUAAGUAUAAAUAAUUCUAUACUGUGAAACUGCGAAUGGCUCAUUAUAUCAGUUAUAGUUUAUUUGAUAGUCCCUUACUACUUGGAUAACCGUAGUAACUCUAGAGCUAAUACAUGCGCAAAUUCCCGACUGUCGCAAGGCGGAAAGGAUGUAUUUAUUAGAUAAAAAACCAAUGCCCUUCGGGGCUCCUUGGUGAAUCAUAAUAACUUAACGAAUCGCAUGGCCUUGCGCCGGCGAUGGUUCAUUCAAAUUUCUGCCCUAUCAACUUUCGAUGGUAGGAUAGUGGCCUACCAUGGUAUCAACGGGUAACGGGGAAUUAGGGUUCGACUCCGGAGAGGGAGCCUGAGAAACGGCUACCACAUCCAAGGAAGGCAGCAGG